GAUUUUUAGAUGUGUGGCAGAGAUGAUGGCAUUGAUCUUUCCGAUCCAUGGUCUGUCCAGAAUGCCGUUGUAGGGUGAGAGUUCAUGAAUGACCAUGAAUGUUUUUGGGAGCUGAUUACAGAUAGAGAGUAGACGUCAAGAUCUAUGGUGCCCACGGUAACCGUUGUUGCGCCAUGGAAACCAGUCAGCGACCUGACUGAUUUGUUGAUCUUUGUCUCCAAGCCCAUCUGCUGGAUGACGGCUAGUUGCAG
rnacentral:lncRNA from 1 species